AUGACAGACCUACUAGCUUUGAACUACUGUCAAUGACAAGAUACUUUAUUUCUUCUCACAGUUAUUUAAGUAUUAAAGAGGAUUGUAAGUUAAAUAAUAAAUUUAACAGAAAUUCAUAAAAGCAGAAUAGAGCAAUUUUAACUGUAUGCAGAUAUCAGACGUUGGAACAGCUGAUAAGAAACCUAUUCUUCAUGUCUUAUUAAGAUGUUGUAUA
rnacentral:misc_RNA from 1 species